AGCUUUUCGAAUCCGUGCUGAGUUUUCGUCCGAUACCAACCCAUUAGAGCUGAUCAGACUUCCAAGAUAUGUGAAGUU
rnacentral:pre_miRNA from 1 species